GAUAACCUGCGGCGUGCCUAUCAUGCAAGUCGAGCGAACCCUUCGGUGGUGAGCGGCGAACGGGUGAGUAACACGUAGGUGAUCCGCCCAUCAGACGGGGACAACGAUUGGAAACGAUCGCUAAUACCGGAUAGGACGAAAGUUUAAAGGUGCUCCUGGCACCGCUGAUGGAUGAGCCUGCGGCGCAUUAGCUGGUUGGUAGGGUAAAGGCCUACCAAGGCGACGAUGCGUAGCCGACCUGAGAGGGUGAACGGCCACACUGGGACUGAGACACGGCCCAGACUCCUACGGGAGGCAGCAGUAGGGAAUCUUCGGCAAUGGGCGAAAGCCUGACCGAGCAACGCCGCGUGAAUGAUGAAGGCCUUCGGGUUGUAAAAUUCUGUUAUAAGGGAAGAACGACUUUAGUAGGAAAUGGCUAAAGUGUGACGGUACCUUAUGAGAAAGCCACGGCUAACUACGUGCCAGCAGCCGCGGUAAU
rnacentral:rRNA from 1 species